rnacentral:lncRNA from 1 species
GUUCAAAAGACCUGGUUUCUAUCCUGGCCUUGGAAUAAUUCUUCAUGUAACCUUGGGAAGUUGUCACCAUCCUUCUGGUCACAAAAGUGCCUGAGUAAGUUGAAAUGUCUCCAAAAGCAAUAAUGUUUAAUUACUGCUCACCACCUGGACAGUUAUGUAAUAACGAGCAUGUAAAAAAGGAAGUCGUUACAAUCUUAUGUGGAGUCAUAUAACCUUAUUAUCAACAAAGCCAGUGGAGCCUUAAUUUGUAAAUGGAUCCCCAAUCCUGAUGUAAAAUACAAUAAAAAAAUUUACAAUCUUUGCUUCCAGUUUGGGUCCUUAUGCAGCUGGGAAGCAUCCUCCAUUUCUACAAGGAUAAUGAAUUCCGAGAUGAUUCCCUGAGAGGAAAGAAGCCUGUUAAUGGGACACUGAGGCUGUGUGUGUGUGUGUGUGUGUGUGUGUGUGUGUGAGAGAGAGAGAGAGAGAGAGAGAGAGAGGUCACAUUAGGAAGAAUUUAUUGAAUGCUAGAUAACAUGGAAAAGCUAUAAUUACUGUUCUUGGUGAAGCCUCUCCAGAGUUUCUCUUGGGACACCGUGGGAUUCAUUUGAGAACAAUGGAGUUAAUGAAUCAACCCCGUGCUGGUCAAAGUGAAGAGCUUCUUUGAGUCAUGAUCCAUGCCUGAAAUGGUAUUUCAUUUUGUACUUUGAAAAAAUCAGCUUUUUGAGCUGAACUUUCUUGUUCCAUGAUGGAUACUUUCUCGGUUUCUAUGAUAUUUGUCUGAUCUUCAAUGAAUGUAUUAAUUCUCGAGUUUCAGCUGAUUCUUUCAUCAAGAAACAUCACAAAUUACCUCUAUUAGUCUGUUCUUGCAUUGCUAUAAAGAAAAACCCGAGACUGGGUAAUUUGUAAAGGAAUGAGGUUUAAUUGGCUCAUGGUUCCACAGGCUGUACAGGAAGCAUGGUGCUGACAUCUGCUCAGCUUCUGGAGAGGCCUCUGGAUACUUACAAUCAUGGCAGAAGGCAAAGGGGGAGCCAGCAUAUCUUACAUGGCAGGAACAGGAGCAAGAGAGACAGAGGGGAGGUUCUUCACACCUUUAAACAACCAGAUCUCGUGAGAACUUACUCACUAUCACGAGAAUAGCACCAAGAAGAUGGUGCUAAACCAUGCAUGAGAAAUCCACCUCCACGAUCCAAUCACCUCCCACCUGGCCCCACCUCAAACACUGGGGAUUACAAUUUGACAUGAGAUUAUGGUGAGGACACAGAUCCAAAUCAUGUCAAUAUAUAAUUAACCUUUCUGCCUUUUCAAAAAUAAUAUGAAAAAUAAGAACUGUUGUCCUUCUUCUCGUCAGGGAGGAAAUGAGGGGUUUAAAUAAAUGCACCAUUGACCACCUUCUGCCUUUUUCCUGUUAGAGUCCAGCAUAGACUGAAAGGCCAUUCCGCAGUGUAUUUCAGAUCAGUUCUGUAUUGUGGCUUGUAUGUAAUAUGACUCACUUUACUUUCCUUUACGGAGAAAUAGAUUGUCUUUAAUAUGCAACUAUGAUUGUUUGCUGUUCUCUUUAUAUAUUCAGGCUGAGUCUUCAUAAGCCACCUGCAUUUGGAGUUGAAAACCAAUGGUCUAGAUGAAAUAUGACUUUCAAUUAUGCCACAGUCAGAGAAGCUGAAAUAAGAAAGCCACACUGGAGGAAGUCAAGUUUAUCUUAUUGGAGUGAAUUGGGCAUGUAGAAUAAAAUCCAGCAUUCACUCAGCACACAGCCCCACUGACCCUAUUGUUCAUCCCCCUCCAAUUUAUUGUUGUAUUUCCCAGCUGCCCACAGAGCUUCCCCUGCAAUAUUGUGGACACCCAGGCAAAUGAAAAUGCCAAUCUUCUCCCAUCCCUGUCUUGCUGUAUUAGGCAUGUGCUCAGCUCUGAAAGAUUUCUUUGGGGGUCUUGCCUUUCCCUAAGAACAUCUAGGGGAAGGUUUGUCUCACCUCUUGUUUCCAAGUGGGAGGGUUGAGAAUAAUAGCUCUUGUCACUUCCCUUUGCCUUGUUAUGGGGAAUAUUUAGUGCUGCAGCCUGGGUGUGGGGGCAAUAUCUUGGAUGUGAUAAUGUUGCUUCCUGCAUCAGUGAACAUGGUAUUGAUUGUAAGCUGUCAACCUUUCUGCAUGCUUUUCAGGGUCCCAGAAGGCUAACUACUGCAGGGAAGGUAAUGCAUCAGGCAGGGACACAUAUGCUCUAUUAACUAACACUGCAAUCUAAGCUUGAUCACUUGCUUUUAACACAUCUUGGCUCACUGGCUCCCAAUUUUUUCUUAAUUCCCUGACUCCUCUGAGCAGUCCUCUGAUGCCCUGUUUGGAUCUCCAUAUAUCAUUCAAACUCCCAAUGGCAUGCCGCUCAUCUUAUAAGCUUCCUGUGGGCAAGUGCUGUGCCUGACUUCCUUACACGUUUAUUUGUUCAUUCAUUCAACAAAACUUUUGAGCACCUACUAUGAGCCAGACAAUGUUCUGUGCUCUGGGGAUACAGGAGUGGCCUAAACAAUGAUGCAGUCCUCAUGGAACUAAGGGUGGUUGAGAAAGCAUCUCUGAGGAGGUGACAUUUGAGCUGAGUUUAUCAGUAUAUCCCCUGUGGCUGGACUAUAAGUAUUUGCGAAGUUUGGAAACCAUAUUUCCUCAUUUUAGUGCCUCAUAGCCUGGCUAUUGGAGAAGCUCCUGAUAUGUGAACCACACUAAGUCCAUGCAUUAUUAUUUUUCAGAUCAUGCAUUAUUGCCCACUCACCUUACCAUGUCUCCUUAUUUCUCUUGGUCUGCCUUCCUACUUUUUACUAAUCAGUCAUACCAGAGUGUUGUGAAUUCCAUAUAUAUAUAGCAUAUGCUGUUUUGCCUCCACUGUCCUAUCCUGAUGUCUGGAAUAUGCUUUUCCUUUCUCUUCUCCUGGAUAACUCACUCCCUUUAUCUUUCGGAUUUCACCUUGGGAAUCACCUCCUCUGGGAAGCUUCUGGUCUGGAUGAGUUAGUGCUCCUUUGUGUCCUCCUGGCACCCAGACACAUCCAUCAUAGUGCAUAUGUUUUAUAGGAUUAGCAGAACUGUAGCAAGAAAUGUGCACUGAAUGCAUAUUUGUGGGCCAGGCAUCCUUCUAAGAGCUUUGUGCAUAUUAAAUCAUGCAAUCUUCACAGCAAUUUUAUGAGAUAGAUGUCGUUUUUAUCCUUAUCUCAUAAUGAGAAAAUCGAGGCACAGAGAGGUUGUCAUUUUUCUAGGUUGCUCAGCUUUUACAUGGUGGAGCUCAGAUUUUAACCCAGGCAGGCAGGCUGGCAGGCUCGGUAUCCUGGGCUCUUGACAUUCCACUGCCACCAUUGCCUGUGAGUUUGUCUGCACCUCCCGCUAUCUGUGAGCUGUGUGAAGAUGGAGCUGUCACUGCUGCUUCCACAGACCACCCUGGCAUGGGCUUGGCAGGCAGUACAUGAACAAUCAUUAACCAUUUAGUAAAUGAAUGAAUGAAUGCAUGAAAUUCGCCCAACUGAGCAACUGUUUAGAGUUCCAAAAUGUUGCUUUUCCUUUUACCACUGAGGAAAGCCCCUGUUCCCUUCUACUCCAGCUUCCUCAGUCUUCCAUGACUCCCACAAGUAUGUAUUACUCUGGCUGGAAGGGAGGGCAUCCCUAGCCAACCAGAGCAAGAAUCACAGCAAUCAUGGCUUGUUCCUACAAUUUCUGGGUUUCUGUCAAAUAUGAGUUAUGAAGAAGUGUCCUCUCCACUCUUUCUCAAACCAAAUACAGCAGCCAAAAUGAUUGGAGUGGCAACUGAGAGGGCUUGAGAUGGGCAAGCAGGAGCUGUUCAGUGGGCACUGUUCACCCAGGAAAACCCAGGUUGACUUUUUGGGGAAUGAGCAGCAGGGGCGGGAAGGCUGGGAGUGGACUGGGAUCUGUCUUGGCAGUGGCUAAGCCCCUUCUUCUGGCCUGACAGUGAUCAUUGCUUUGAUUGCAGCUGAGGCAGGGAUCAGCGGAGAUGGCAGAUCAUGAUGGUUCUGCCACCAGCAGUUUAACCAAUGGGGCAUGGAAUAUCUAAAUUGGGGGACAGUUAAUCAGUCAUAAUAAGGUCAAAGUCAGAAGUUGGAGACCUGUGAGCCACUUGACUUCACUCUCUGCUUUGAUGACAGACCAAAUUUGUAUUCUUGGUCAGCUGUCAGGCAAUAUUUAGUCACAGAGAAAUGGCGUGUUUGUGAGUAUCCACGCUAGGGAAAAUAAUCAAGCCAAGGUAACUCUGCAUUACCAAUAACUGUGAUGGAAGAAGUAUAGGAUCUGGAACAGGAUAGAUCUAGAUAAAACUUCCUGCUACGUCAUCUAACCCUUUUGAGUCUGUUUCUCGCUAUAAAAAUGGAAUAAUACAUCUACCUAUCAGGUGAUUAACAAUGAUUUAAAACAGUGCCUCUCCCAAUGCCUGUCAUUGCAAUAACUACUCAGGAAAUAUUGGUUUCCUUUUAUUCUUUCCGUCUACUUUACACUUAAAUACAGUGCUUAAAAUAAGGUUUAAUAAAUAUUUGUUAUUGGAUGAACAAAAGGAAAAAGGGGUAGGCUAGUUCUAGUAUGUCGAAAAUGUGUUUCUAAUGGAAGGAGAGAAACAUUGGCUUUCUGUUUCCAUGCCAUAUGGAUUUUGCUUCAUAUUCUGGUAUAUGUUGGUCUACCUAUUGGAAACGCUGUAUCAUGCUUUGUUGAGCAAAUUUAGUUAAAAUUCUGCUUAGAUGACACAUUCUGAGAACCUUUUCUUAUCACUCAUUGAUUAACUAUUUCUUCCUCUGUAUGACUUCUGCCCUUCAUAGAUAUCUCAUUGUAAAAAUGUUUACAGUAUGCAAAUAUGCACUUUCUCCUAUGUGAGUGUCAUCUCUUGGAGGGCAGGGGCCAGUGGUUUAAAUAUCUUAGUAACUCCAGCCCCUUGUCUAGAACCUGGCUGCCUGACACAUCCCAGGCAACCAAUGAAUCUUUAAUUCAUUGAGCUUAUGGGUCAUUACUGGGGCUUGUUUUCUGAUCAGUAACUUCCAUCUACAUGCAUACACACACACACACACACACACACACACACACACACACACACAUAAUGUAUGAUGGGGAUAGUGGAUAAGAACUUUAACUAAAACUGCCUGGCUUUGUCACUUGUGAACUGUGUAAAUUUGGUUGUCAUUCAUCUGUUUCUGUAUCUAUAAAAUGAGAACAACAAUAGUAUCUGCAUCUGGAGUUUUAGGGGUAAAUAAGUCAAUACAUGUGAAAUUUGUAGAACAAAGCCUGGCUUAUAAUAAGUGCUCAAUAAAUGUUAGCAACUAUUGUAUGUUAGAGCUGUAUUUUAACAGCUCUGGCUUUAGAGUCAGAUACCUUGAGUUGGAGUCCUGGUUCCAUCUCUCUCGGGCUUUGUGCCCUUGGCUAGGUUGACAACUUGAGUCUAUUUUCUCAUUUGCAAAAUGGAAAUACUAAUGCCACCAUGGGGUCUGGGAGAGGAGAUAAUGAGAUGAGGCAUGGAAAGCAAUAGUAUAUUACCCAUCACUGUUGUUGCUAUUAUUAGUUUAUGGUGCUUUAAACCUAUCAAAAUAGUUGUAAGUAAAUGGAUUUCUUGUUCUCCCAAUAACAAUUCUCUGAGCUAGGAUAGAUGUCUUUCUGGCCAUUUUACAGGUGAUGACACUGACAUAGGGACUGAGUGGGUAGCUUAAGUUCCAUGGUUACCAGGAGCAGGACCCACGUUUCCUGUCUCCCAGUCUCAUCCUUUUUCCACUGACCAGGUUGGUUGCUCCCUUGGAAAGCAGUCCCUGAGAGUUGACUUAGAAGUUCAGGGGGAAGAGGUGGAUGAAGGCAUGUUGGAUGCACAGUGAAUCAGGUUGCAGUGUGAAUGUUUCUCAGUGGUGUGUCUAGACUUCCCCCAUCCAAAGACUAACCAGGCCUGACUCCAUUUCACUUCCAAGAUCAGAUGAGAUCGGGUGCAUUCAGGGUGGUAUGUCCAAAGACUGUGUCAGGGGAUUUGUUUUGGAAGUGGGGUGGCAUUAUUAAAAACACACCGGCUUCAUCCACACAUUCAUCACGGAAGAGGGAAAAUUAGUAAGGGUUCCACCAUUCAGGCUGUGGACUAUAGUGUCAUCCCUAAAUCCUCAUUAUGAGGCCUACCAGGGCUUUCUUGAGCCCUGCAGGCAGCUAGCAAAGGGACUGAAAAAGAAAUGAGGCCUGGGGUUGUCUGGGGAGGGAAGCUUUAGGCAGUUGCUCUGUAGGCUUGAAGGGAGGGAAAUUAUGGCUUUUCAAGUCCUUAGAAAUUGGGCAUUUGAGUGUGUACCUUUUAUUAUAAUGGACCCUAGAAUAUUCAAAGGAAGUUUAGUGGAGAUAGCUGACUUAUUUCAUUGGGCCACUGAGCUAGCAGAAUUUUAGCUUCAUCUUUAUUCCACCUUGCAAUUGUUCCAUCUUAUAUAUGCUGGUUGCCUAAUAGAAGUUGAUUUGGUUGAAUUAAUUACAAGAUCAAUGAGAGGUUUAAAGGUGCUUUUUUUUCAAUGGAAGAGUAAAGGCAGGAGCCAAACUUGAAGGAGUUAAGAAGCAACUUGAUUCCCACUGCCCAUCUGCCUUUAUAUAUCCCACUUCUUGAUGCUGGCUAGUAUCUUCCUUUUUUGUUUUUUCUAACUAAUCUUCCUCCUCCUGACAGAAGAGUACGAAUGUCUACCAAAGUUCAGCUUUUUGCAUUACUUGUUUUUAACGUCAGGAACUGAAUGUUGCGCAAGGAUGGUUUUUGUAAAAGCCAGGGAUGGCGUGGCUUCCAUUUUCCUUCAUUCAACUGACACCCUCCAGUUGUAAUCUGAUGGCUCUUACCAAGCAGCAGGCCUUGUGGGGUAAAGUAGUAUAGGGCCCUUAGAAUCGAACCAACUGUUGCAAGGUAGCAAAUCAGCCUUCAAGUAGUUUUUAGUGUCAGCAGGAAAACAGACUGACUUCUAUGUGCCACUAACUAAGAAAUAUUGCCAGUACUGGGGCUGAAAGAUCACACAUGUAAAAUACCUAGUUCAGUACCUGGUAAAGAACAGUUAAUUUGUGAAACAUCGUGGUGGUUAUUGCUCCCUGAGGCCUAAUCUCUAGGGCUUUCCCCUCCUGUUCCCGUCCAGGAGUCUUGGGUGUUUGCUCUAAUGCAUCCUUUGCAGGGGAUGGAGGAGAGGAUGGCUGCCCUCUGCUCUUUCUUCUCUGGCAAACUCAUCCUACUCUGGAUCCCAGUUUGUACAUCUAUAUGCUAAGGGUGUUGGACUAGUGUAGGGGCUUUUAUUUGGAGUUCGCAGAUAAACUGCAAAGGGGCCUAUGAACUCCUUAAACCAUGACAAAAAUUAUUCCUGUGUGUGUUAUGGGCAGCCCUGCUGACUCUAAUAUGUGAAGAACCACCAUCUUUGAUGCCCCUAAGGGCAUAAAUCUUCUGUCAUAUCAGUUACUCAGGGUCCCAAAGUUUGAUACACAUGCUCCUGGUGGUUCACAAAAUGAUUUCAGGUGGUAUGUGGGUGCAUGUUUGUUACAUUGAUAAUUAUGUGAUUAAUGUUAGGGAAAAACCUAGCAUAUCAGAGUUGAAAUUUCAUGCAUAUUAUUUCUUUGGAGGAGGCUAAGUCUUGCUUUUAAGAAAAGGUGACUUAAAAAAAUGUUACAUGAGUAAUAGUACAAAUGUGAGUUGAUUCUUAAGUUUGAGAUACAAUGAUUGGUCCCAACCCCCGACGUGGUACAGACAGAGGAGCUGAGUCCGGAGAAGUGGAGAAAAGGCCAUAAAGGAAGUCGGUGGUAAAUGUAGGCCAAUAACCCAGUGGCCUUCUGCAAAAUCAUCACUCUCUAUGACUGGCAGAAGUUUCUGACUCUCUCAUGUCUCCUCCAAGAACACUGUCCCAGUCAGGACAGAAAUCUUGCCCAGAGAGUUUACACCUUAGCCACUUUACUUGAGAUGCCUAAGGCGAGGCUUUCCUUGCAGGAAAAAUGAGAAAUACUGAGAAAGUCUCGUCUUUGUUCCCAUGCUCCCUCAAUUCUGAGACGUACUUUUUUACAUUUUAAUGUUCCUGAAAUUGGGCUGCAUCUAACAAGACUGUUUUUACCUAAGGUGACAGUUAUUUCCUUGCCAAAAAGCUAUUAGUAAAUGGAUAGUAGCUUAGAAUUGAGAUAAAAUGAUUCUUUCACUAUUUUUUCCUCCUCCAAAGCAAAUUACACUUGAAAGUCAGGACUUCUAAUACAUCUGUAAACUGAAAGAAAAUUUCCCUUUCAUUGAAA